AUGUAGGUGUAACCAAUAUACGGUUGUAUUUCAUGUAAUUUAUUUAUACCGACUUGGGUGUCCAACUUCUUCUGCUUCAGAUAACGGAUGUACGCUCUAAUGCUAGCUUUGUAAUCAGAGUAUGGAAUAAGAAGUGGUGUCACAGAUUCGUUGAGCGCUGCCUUAGCAGCAAGAUCGGCCAUUGUAUUCCCAGAAAUGCCAACGUGGCUGGGUAACCAAC